rnacentral:rRNA from 1 species
AGUGAACGCUGGCGGUAGGCCUAACACAUGCAAGUCGAACGGCAGCACAGUAAGAGCUUGCUCUUACGGGUGGCGAGUGGCGGACGGGUGAGGAAUACAUCGGAAUCUACUUUUUCGUGGGGGAUAACGUAGGGAAACUUACGCUAAUACCGCAUACGACCUACGGGUGAAAGCAGGGGAUCUUCGGACCUUGCGCGAUUGAAUGAGCCGAUGUCGGAUUAGCUAGUUGGCGGGGUAAAGGCCCACCAGGGCGACGAUCCGUAGCUGGUCUGAGAGGAUGAUCAGCCAGACUGGAACUGAGACACGGUCCAGACUCCUACGGGAGGCAGCAGUGGGGAAUAUUGGACAAUGGGCGCAAGCCUGAUCCAGCCAUACCGCGUGGGUGAAGAAGGCCUUCGGGUUGUAAAGCCCUUUUGUUGGGAAAGAAAAGCAGCAGGUUAAUACCCCGCUGUUCUGACGGUACCCAAAGAAUAAGCACCGGCUAACUUCGUG